rnacentral:rRNA from 1 species
GACGAACGCUGGCGGCGUGCUUAACACAUGCAAGUCGAACGGAAAGGCCCUGCUUUUGUGGGGUGCUCGAGUGGCGAACGGGUGAGUAACACGUGAGUAACCUGCCCUUGACUUUGGGAUAACUUCAGGAAACUGGGGCUAAUACCGGAUAGGAGCUCCUGCUGCAUGGUGGGGGUUGGAAAGUUUCGGCGGUUGGGGAUGGACUCGCGGCUUAUCAGCUUGUUGGUGGGGUAGUGGCUUACCAAGGCUUUGACGGGUAGCCGGCCUGAGAGGGUGACCGGCCACAUUGGGACUGGGAUACGGCCCAGACUCCUACGGGAGGCAGGAGUGGGGAAUAUUGCACAAUGGGCGGAAGCCUGAUGCAGCAACGCCGGGUGCGGGAUGACGGCCUUCGGGUUGGAAACCGCUUUCGCCUGUGACGAAGCGUGAGUGACGGUAAUGGGUAAAGAAGCACCGGCUAACUACGUG